CGGGGUGUAGCACAGCUGGCUAGUGCGCCGGCUUUGGGAGCCGGAGGUCGAGGGUUCAAGUCCCUCCACCCCGACCA
rnacentral:tRNA from 1 species